UCUGAGGUGGCAGAGUGGUUAUCGCGCAGGCCUGCUAAGUAUGUGCCCGCGAGGGCUCAGGGUUCGAAUCCCUACCUCAGCG
rnacentral:tRNA from 1 species